UAAACCCCUUGCACCAAGCGCCUAGGGCCGCAACUCUAUCAAGCUACCGGAGACUUCAUAUUCCCUAGAUUUCUCUAGCUGUAUAGGAGCAAUGGCACCCGCUGCCAUGACAUCUUCAGGCACCUCAGUUGCUCCAUUCCAGGGGCUCGAGUCCACCACUAGCUGGCCUCCCCGUGAGCCGCCGGUCUAGCACCUGUGGCUUCGGCAACGUCUGCAACGGCCGAAGGAUCAGGUGCAUCACCACUGGAUGCAGUUGUGGCCGAUUGAUACCCAUGUUCCGCUGCACUGACGCCAACCCAGGUGUACCGUGUACGCCGAGCUCGAGGAGGCCAAGAAGGCCUUCCCCGACGCCUACAUCUGUAUCCUCGGCUACGACAACGUCAGGCAAGUGCAGUGCAUCAUGUUCAUCGCCUACAGCCCCCGGGCUGGGAGGAGGCCGUCGGUGCCUAAGCAUAUCGUCUAGUGAGACUCAGCUGCCAUUUCUCAUCAAGAUGGUGAAGAUUUCGGGCCCCUUCUGAAGUAUAGACAUCAUCUACUCGGUUUAAGGGACGGGAGCUGGAUCAGAAGCAAAAUUGGGCCAGGCUGCCACCCCAAUGGGGUACCAGGCCGAUUGGCUGGGGUCCUUUCUGGCCCUCUAGGUGUUCAUCUUCCACAUGUAGGAUCCGUCCCGUCAAUGAUCCAGCCAUAUGUUGAUUCCGUUCAAAAGAAACUUUGCUAGGUUGACCCCGAUGGAAACUAUAGCACUUCUAUCAUGGAGAGGAGACACACGCUGGAGUGGGGUUGUAUGAUGAUUCUUGCCUCCAUGAUCUAAAUCAUAAAAAACUUCAAUUCACUUUCCGUAUAAUGACAUUGUCAUGUUGUUCCUAUUUACAUCAUACAUUCGUUUUCCUUUAUUUCACAAAGCUAACUAUGCAUUUGAAUUUGAUGGCCUCACCCUUUUGUAUUAACUAGAAUUUACAAAUUCAUGAAUUUAUGAUUACUGUGACAUUAUUCAUUGCAAGUUUGCAACUCGGUUGUGGCAAGACUAAUGAGAAGGACAGCAGGUAUUAUGUAACCCUUUUUUUAUAUAUCAUCAACUGAUCUGGUACAGACAUGAAGUACGUGAGAUUUGAUUGACAGAGAAGCAUACAUAUAUAAGGUUGAGGAAACAUUGAUACAAAAACACCGUACCAGUAAUUAACACGGUCUAGUAUAUAUUGUCGGCGGAUUUUGGCAGAUAAUUUGCUCUAGAUAGUAUCCAUAUUACAGAUCAUAUAUAGCCGGAGCUUGCAUUGACACCAUGCCCCUCACCCAACAUAACUCUCCGGUUGGGGGGAGAGAGAUAGAUGACAUGCAUGCCAUGGAUACAGCAUCAGAAAGCAACCAUGAAAAUCAAAAGAAAGAAAAUCAAGGUGACCCGAUCGAAGCAAGCAGAAACAAAACAGACACUCCAUGGCUGCUCAUGCAGGAGCUGAUGAGCUAGUCUCGGUCGGCGGCUGCGCUUAUUAGGCGGCGCCCGAGGGCUUGUAGGCGAUGAACAUGACGCACUGCACCUGCCUGACGUUGUCGAACCCGAGGAUGCGGAUGUAGUUGUCCGGGUAGGCCUUCUUGCACUCCUCGAGCUCGGCGUACACCUGGGUCGCGUCCGUGCAGCCGAACAUGGGCAGCUUCCACAUGGUCCAGUAGCGCCCGUCGUAGUACCCGGGGGAAGUGGCGUUCUCGCGGAAGACGAAGCCGACCUUGCUGAACUCGAGGCAGGGGACCCAGUUGUUGCGGAUCAGGUAGUCGACCUGCUUCAGGAGGUCCUCCGUGGAGAGCGGCGGCAGGUACGACAGCGUCUCGAACUUCUUGUUGUUCUCCGUCGGCCACACCUGAUGAGAUUUUGAGUUGCGUUCAGCUCAUCAUCGAUCAGUUUUAGUCACCAGCAGCAGCAUCAAGAAGAAGAAUCCAAUUCCAGUUCCAGCUA